rnacentral:lncRNA from 1 species
CUAACUUCCUCAAAUUGUGUGUGCAGAGGUGCUGUACCCAAAGUGCAGCCCCCUCAUUGCUUCAGGCCUUGACAUUUGAUGGUUGGUUGGCGUUAGCUAAGAAGAGAAAACGAUAGGAUCACAUUGGCAAGAGGAAAAGUGAGGCUCAGGUACUUGCUAGCCUAGUUUCCCUCAGGAUGUGUUUCCGUGGACUGGCACUAUAAGCUCAUCUAUGUUUGUUUUCACAUCCCUGCCCCCCUGUUUUUCAGCCCCGUGUGUCUGUUGUGGUGGGCUGGUUGCUAGCUCAUAGUAUCCCAUGUAGCAACUCUGUACAGUAGCCUCAAGUGACAUUUUGAUUGAAGUUUCCAUUUCUUGUCCAGUGUCUAGCUGAUACACAAGCAAGGCUGGAAGUGAGAGGGACUGCUUUGAGCACAGUGGCUGCACUAUUCCAGAUGUGCUCGUCUCUUCUGGAUGAACCGUGCUAUGCAGUUAUCCACUCCAUGAAAAGGCUGGAUUGACCAUUGUUUCUACCUACAGGGGCUGCAUAGUUCCUCAAAGAGCUAUACUGUCAGCGAGUGUGUGCGGACACAUAGAUGUAGGAGUGACAGAGCCUGAAACCUGCUUGCUCAGGGGUGGAGCUUCCUGCUCAUUCGUUCUGCCACGCCCACUGCUGGACCAUGCCGUUUUUGCUGUUUGGAGCCACACACUCGCUCACCCUGCUACUGGAAUCCCGAGAUUAUUUGGCGGGAAUCGGGUCCCCUCCCCCUUCCUUCAUAACUGCAUGUGGAACAGUAAAAUUGAGCUUUGAUC